UUCUAGGUGAUGGAACUAGAAUGGCUGACUCAACGACAAUGUUAUCAAUAAGUGAUCCAGUUCAUAUGGUGCUAAUCAAAACAGACAUAUUUGGUGAGACCACUUUAGUAGCGUCCUAUUUUCUCGAAUGGCGGUCCGUUUUAGGCUCAGAAAAUGGAGUGACCAAUCUUACCGUGGAACUUAUGGGUGUAGGCAUGGCUUGAAAAUUUGUCCUCCAUGUGCUGUGAAAAUGGAAGGGAUAAAUGGGAAUGACUAUAUGAGACAAAGAGUGCACAGAAUCAAAAAUUUCUAUGGCAAUUUUAAAUCUGAAACUUGAGAUGAACCUCUCCUCAAUCAAACGUUGCCUAUAAAAAGUACUAAACACAGAUGCUUUUAAGAUCUUCUCUUUGAUUUUGGUGUCUGUAUUUAACUACAUUAUGUGGUCACCUAACGCUGCUAGAGAACGCUCCCUCCAGCCUCUCCAUGGUUGCUCCUGGUUAGAGUGCAUGUGCAGCCUUCCCUCUUGCCUGAAAGGAUCUGCGUUCUCACUUAGUGUGUGUCCUAGUUUUGUCAUGUGCGAUAGUCCUUUCCUUUUCCCAUAAAACAAAAACAGGACUGAAUGUAGAAGGAGCCAGGAUCACUGAUUAAAUAGGAUGCUAAAGUGCUGGAGGCUAGAACUGGGCUUGCAGGUCCCGCAGGUCAAGGUUGCAACUAUCAGACUUCUCUGCUUGAAACCUGGCUCAAACUGGCAGAAAGAGAACAAAAUGAAAAAUGCUGCUCAUGCCAGCAGAGAAAUCGGUAAGAACUCCCUGACUAAGCUUCAGCCGCAAUAGCCAUUGCACUACUUAGAGAGGCCAUUCUAGUCUCUUAACAUGAGUCAGUGUGCCUAGAUUGGACACUGGUGUUUGAUGAAGUGAUCCUUUGCUGGCACGUGGUGGUGGUAUCAGGUCACAUAUUCCACCUGCCCCCGCUGGCAGGGGCAGGAGCUGUGUUUUCUGAACCUACUGCUUGUGCUGGAAGUUGUGCUGAUAGGGUUCAUCUGCCUUUGCCCACUGGCCGCAACCACUUGGCACAUCACACACACAUGUGCAGGUGCUCUGGUGCUCGUCCGCUGCCUUGGCCAGAUGGGGUGGGAUGGGCGCUUUCUUUCACAUGCUGAUGGGCCCGCUGUGCACUCACAGGUAGUUCUCCUGGUCUGCUGCACUUGGUGGUGGCACCCAUGUAGUAGCUGAGCUGCACCACUCAGUGUGGAGCAUUCCAGCAGGCCAGGCUGCCCCUCCAAAAGCGAAAGUAUUCAUGCUGGCCCGCCUCUUCUUACAGUCAUGUGCCAGAUGCUGCAUGAGGACCCACGACCUAGAUCACUGCCAUUGAGGGGAGAGAGGGGAUCCACUCACCUCCUUCUACUGCUUCCCAGGGCUCCAGUACCCCCACCUUCAGACGUGUGACUGCGUGGAUAUCUCAGUUGUCCUAUUGUGCUUUGAAGGGAGUCCUCUGUUGGUUAAUGAAUGUCCAUUUGGUUGUAACUUAGGAGGGGAAAGACUAAGGGAACAGCUCACUGUAUCAUGAUGCUCUCAGCUCUCCAUUCUUCUGUUGAUCCCAACCAUUCUAAAUGGCUGGUAUGUACCUCUCUCCCCCUGACAAUAGUCUUUAUCUUAUCACCCUGUUUGUUUCUUGCAUGGAACUUAAUGUUUAAAAAUUGUUUACUUAUUGUAUAUCUCCCAAGCUCCCUCCCACCCUAGUCCAGAUUCCUGGCUACCUGAGGGCAAGACCUACAUCUACCUACUGACCCCAGGGCUCGCAGAAUGUCAGCGUUCAAUCAAUAUUUUGAAAGGAAUGAAUGAAUCUAAACUCAUGAUGGAGAACUCAUGGUGGACAGAGAUAACCCUAUGACAUUUCAGGUCAGUGAAAGUUUAUGAGCAAAAGCAGUGUCAGAAAAGCCCAGUGUUUGCGGGGCACUAAAUCUUUAUCACCUGACCAAGACAGAAGAAAAUCUAAUGUCAUCAUGUCACGUAUUCAGAAAUAAGUUUGGAGAAGGUGUAGGUCUUAAACACGAAGCUAGGGGUUUUGGACUUUGUCCUGUAAGCAUUUGUGUCCCAUUGAACUUUUUAGUAAGGGAGUAAAAUGAAUAAGGUUAACCUAGCUCUGGCGGGCAGUGCUAGUUCUUAUGUUAAUUAUACUGUAUCAUAAUUGCUGGAUGCUUCUCUCCUUCCCCACCAGACUGUUAGCUCCUCCAGGGCAGGCACCAUGUCUGAAUCACCAUAUGAGAUCCCAACUCAGAAUAGGGUGGUUGGUACAUAAGAGGCACGCAAUGAAUGUUUGGAAUGGGUGAAUUCAUUAACUAAUAAACUUUGGGGGAGCAAUUAUGCUUCCGCAACUUAAAUCUGCCUUCUCUGAUCUACCCUUUUCUUUGGAGGUAUCAGAAUGGAGGUCAAAGUAAGCAACUAAGCACAAAAUGAGCAACUAAGCACACAGUGGUGAUAGUGUUGCUGAAGUCCCUCCCACAGCAGCUGCGUGGUAGACAUGGUCUUGUCUCUUGACUCAGAGUAACCUCGUGAGGGAAGUCUGUGAGAGGGUUACCAACAGAUGUGCCGCCUGACUCUGAUAUUGCCAUGCACUAUAAUGAUUAAUACAUAACAGAAAACAUUUUCUUGCCAAAGCUUAGUUGACUCAAUUUUAAUAUUCUUUUAGACAGAUCUCCUUACUUAUAGUGACAUGGUAUAAAUAUAAGAAGAAAGAAUGUCAAAUAUCACUUCGUAUAAUAACAGUGUUACUGUUCAUGCACAUAAAUUACAUUUACCUAUUUAAAAGCAAGCAAAGUGCUCAGUUUUGCAAUUUAACACUUUUAAAUAUGCCACAUUUUAAAAUUACGUCAUUACAACUGGUAGAAGUUAGUAAUCACCACUAAAAUGUGUUUUCUUGAAUUAUUGAUGAACUACUUAUAGUAAAAUUCUUUAAAAAAAUCAUUUGAAAGGGCAAAAUUUAAAGGCACCUUUGUUAUAUUUAUUUUCACACGUUCCAGACUCAUCCGACAUCCUUUGAAUACCUCUUAUGUGGCAAAUAUCACGAAAACUUCUAUAGUUCCACUGUCCGAAAUGGCAGCUCCUAGUCAGGCGUGGCAAUUUAAACUUAGGCUUUAGUUAAUUAAAAUUAGCUAAAAUUUUCAGUUCCUCAGUCUCACUAGUCACAUUUCAAGUGCUCCAUAGCCACUGUGGCUAGCAGCUGCUGUAUUGAACAGAGCAGAAUAGAACGUUUCCAUCAUGACAGAAAGUUCUAUUGGACAGCAUUGCUCCAAAGAGAAGAAGUAAAUAUGACCCAUCAUGAGCACCACAGUCAUAGCAUCAAGAGCUACUGACGCAUGUCUGGGAUUUAUUUUUAGAGUAGGUAUCUUUGCCCACAUUGAUGAAAAUGCUUUAAAGUGUCCUCGUUCUCAGUAAACAAUAAUUCUGUUCAGUGCUAAAUCAAACUAUGGCCACUGAAGAAGAGAUGUGGCCUUACCCUUAUCAGGUUCUUACCUGUUUGAACUAGUUGUAUAUUUUGUUUUAAGCCAACUGUAGUGUAGUUUUCCAAAAUGACAUUUUGAAAGCAAACAACUUCAAGGUAUUAGCUUAAACCUGAGCUCAUCCUUUAUGUUCUAAUCUACUGGCUUUCAGUUCCUCUGUCUAUAAAAGGAAUAACUCGUAACAGUUAUGAGUUCCUGUGCCCCUUCACUGGACCCAGGAAUUGAAGAGUCUAAGUGAGUAGGAGAGCUUAUCCUAAAGUGUCUGACAGUGCAUACAUCAGAGGGUUUAUUGGAUAAAGAUGCAAUCUUGGUCCAUCUGCUCCAGACAUUUUAUCACAUUCUUAUUC